UGACUCAAAUGCGAUUUAAACAUCACGCGAGUUAUUAGUGCCCGAGAAUGCGUGCAUUCUACAUGAUUCUUUUGCUGGCGAUCUUCUUUGCGAGUUUCACCAGCAGCUGGUGCUUUUCCAUCGAAAAGCAAAAUAAUACCACACAAAUAUUGAAUUUUAACGGAACUACGACUACAGAUGUUAUGGAGGGAAGAAUAAUAUUUGUUCCACGGAGGAAUAAAGUUUUCUGUCAACCGGGUCAAGAAGCUGAUCGCCGUGGCAAGUGUAGGACAAUCUGGUGAACUAAUAAUUCGACAAAUAAUAAAAAGCAGAUAAGUCACAUCUUCAUUAAGGAAUUAAACACUAAUAUUAUUCAUAAGAAGAUUCCCGAAAAAAACAGAGAGGAGGAUCAUAUGUACUUUGAAGAACAAUUAAUGGAAAGAUGAAUAGAUCUACAUUAGAAAUGUCUAACUAAUUAUAUAAUGAUGCGAAAAGUAUCACAAAUUAAAUUAUCAAUCAUGAAUUUACCACGAAAUAAAAUCAAGAUGUAGAGAAAUCAGCGAAAGUAUUUUUUCGCGCAUAUGCGCGCGUAUACUUAUUGCCAAAUAGUAGGAAUAAACUUUUUAUAUAAAAUGUGCAGAAUCGAUGUAAAAAUUAUAAAGUGUUAAAAAAUUAUAUUUAUGUAAUAUUAGACAAUAAAUAAUCAAUACUUCAU